UACGUAGGGUGCGAGCGUUAAUCGGAAUUACUGGGCGUAAAGCGUGCGCAGGCGGUUCGCAAAGUCUGAUGUGAAAGCCCCGGGCUCAACCUGGGAACUGCAUUGGAAACUAACGGGCUCGAGUGUGGCAGAGGGGGGCGGAAUUCCACGUGUAGCAGUGAAAUGCGUAGAGAUGUGGAGGAACACCGAUGGCGAAGGCAGCCCCCUGGGCUAACACUGACGCUCAGGCACGAAAGCGUGGGGAGCAAACAGG
rnacentral:rRNA from 1 species